CCUACGGGGGGCAGCAGUGAGGAAUAUUGGUCAAUGGGCGCGAGCCUGAACCAGCCAAGUAGCGUGAAGGAUGACUGCCCUACGGGUUGUAAACUUCUUUUAUAAAGGAAUAAAGUGAGGCACGUGUGCCUUUAUGUAUGUACUUUAUGAAUAAGGAUCGGCUAACUCCGUGCCAGCAGCCGCGGUAAUACGGAGGAUCCGGGCGUUAUCCGGAUUUAUUGGGUUUAAAGGGAGCGUAGAUGGGUUGAUAAGUCAGUUGUGAAAGUUUGCGGCUCAACCGUAAAAUUGCAAUUGAAACUGGCAGUCUUGAGUACAGUUGAGGUAGGCGGAAUUCGUGGUGUAGCGGUGAAAUGCUUAGAUAUCACGAAGAACUCCGAUGGCGAAGGCAGCUUACUAAACUGCCACUGACAUUGAUGCUCGAAAGUGUGGGUAUCAAACAGGAUUAGAUACCCGAGUAGUG
rnacentral:rRNA from 1 species